UACGGGGUAUCUCCCGUAAGGAUUCUCAAAGGUAUCUGCAUAAGUUAUGUGUGGAUAAUCACAUAAGAUUACUUGUUUUGAUUGAGCUUAUGACGGAUGCUUCGCAAUUACUUUCAAUUUGUCGUAUGUUGCACUUUUCAAAGGGGUGUUCGGUUUUGGAAGGUACAAUGUGGGUUUUGUGGCAGGAUGAGCUGGUGGCCCAGCUCCGUGAAGUAGGGGAUCAACUGGCUAACAUGGAGAUAAGUUAGGGGGGAUUUACCUUCCUUUUCUCGGCAGUAUAUGCUAAAUGUACACUAGUAGGGAGACGGGAGUUAUGGAAGGCAAUAGAGUCAAUCCAUGGCAUUAAUGAGGGCCCGUGGAUGGUGGCGGGUGACUUCAAUGUUAUUUUGAAUGCUCAGGAGCGCUUCGGGGGGCACCUCCCAAUCUCCGUAACAUGGAGCAAUUUAACGACGCGACUUUCAAUUGUGGCCUAGCGGAGGUGGACUUCGAUGGUUCGGCCAUCACUUGGACAAAUGGAGUACUUUGGCAGCGUUUGGACAGAGCUUUAUCCAACGCCGCUUGGUCGGAAUUAUUUUCUACUACUACUAUCUCACACCUAAUGCCAAGUUGUGCGGACCAUGCUCCGCUCUUGAUCAAGAGCGGAUACCCAAGACCCGGAUCCCCGACUUUUCGUUAUCUGAAUGUUUGGAAACGAUAUCCGAACUUCUUGUUAGUGGUUCAACAGGCGUGGCAUGGGUCGGUUAAUGCCGACGGUAUGGUGGGGUUUCAUCGGAAAUUAGUUAACCGAUCCUAUGGCAAUAGAGCAGGCAAGUUAUUGGUAACAUUUUUCAGGCUGUCAAGGAAGCAGAGGAGGUACUCCGUCAGAGCGAGAAGGAGUUCAAUGAGAGGCGGGAUGCAUUAGCGAAAGGAAAGCUAAGGGAAGCUCGGGCAAGUUAUGCGAGGGCGCUGGCUAUGGAGUGCGAGUUCUGGUGACAAAAAUUGUCAAUCAGAUGGCUUCGUGAAGGGGAUGCCAAUACCAAAUUCUUUCAUUCCGUAGUCAAGCAACGGCAAAACACGAAUUUCAUAGUUCGGAUAAAGGAUGAGACGGGUCGUUGGGUGGAGGACGAGGGUGCCAUUAAACACUCAGCCACUCAAUUUUAUCAAAACUUGUUCACGUCAGAGCGUCAGGACAGGUGGCCCCCCUAUUGGAUUUUCCGAUCCCAAGAAUCACUCAUGGGGACAAUGUUAAGUUACAGCGCCCUCCUAUUUUGGAAGAGGUCAAAGAAGUGGUGUUUUCUCCAGGCCCAGACGGUUUCGGGGCUGGCUUUUAUCAGACAUGUUGGCAAAUUAUAGGCGACGAUUUGGUUGAUGCGGUUCAGGAGUUCUUUCAGGGGGUUCAGCAGCUGAGGGGAUUGUCAAGUGCAGCUAUUGUGCUGAUCCCGAAGGUGCAAGGGGCGGCUUAAUGGAAAGAUUACUGGCCGAUCAGUUUCUGCAACGUGAGCUCGAAAGUGAUUUCCAAAAUUUUGGCGAAUCGCCUCCAGGCCAUGCCUCCUAGGCUGAUCUCCCCCUGGCAGACAGGUUUCGUACCAGGGAGGGCUAUUACAGAGAAUAUUUUGCUAGCUCAGGAGCUAGCUUUGGACCUGGAUAGGAAGUUACGCCAUCCCAAUUUGAUGCUGAAACUUGACAUGGAAAAAGCAAACGAUCCGAUGGAGUGGAAUUUUCUCAUUUUUAUGCUUCGCCAAUUUGGGUUCCAGGAACAAGCAGUCGAUCUUAUGUUCAGAACAGUAUUGAAUAAUUGGUUUUCGAUUUUAAUCAAUGGUUCACCAGGGGAGUACUUUAGAGCCUUUAGAGGAGUUCGACAGGGGGAUCCCCUCUCUCCAGCUAUGUUCUUAUUAGUGUCAGAAUUUUUGGGGAGAGGGCUACAGCACCUCUUCGAACAAAAUGAGAGUCGGUAUUAUGUCUCACCUGGUUCUCGGGUCCCGUAUCUUGCAUUUGCUGACGAUAUGCUAGUCCUUACUUGCUGUUCAGAGGAUUGUUUAGAUUCACUGGUAGCGUUCUUCGCGCGUUAUAAAGCUUACUCUGGGCAGAGAAUAAAUGGGGGUAAAAGCUCCUUUAUUCUCUCUAACAGAGCAUUGGAGGAUACGGUUGCCUUGGUGCGGGAGAAGUUACAGUUCCAGCAGCAAAUGCUACCUUUUGUAUAUUUAGGAGCCCCUAUAUCCCGAAGCAGAGUGACAUGCAUACUUUUUGACCCAAUUUUGGCAAAGAUGCAAAGUCGUUUGUCUCAUUGGAGCUCCCGAUUGAUCUCGGAGGGGGGUAAGUUAGUCCUAUUCCGACAUGCACUCUCCUCCAUUCCAAUGUAUCUGCUGCAGGUCCUUCAACCUCCACGAGCAAUUUUCCAGAGGCUGGGUAGAAUAUGCAAUGCUUUCUUGUGGGAUAAAGCGAAUGGUUCGAAUGGUAUCCAUUGGACCUCAUGGGAGAAGGUUUGCUUCCCAACAUCGGAGGGGGGCUUGGGAGUGCGAUCCUUCGGGGACAUAAGUGUGGCCUUUGCAUGCAAACUGUGGUGGUAGUUACACCAGAAUAGAUCACGGUAGGCGGAUUUCAUGCGUGUGAAGUACAUCAAGGGGGAACACCCAUCUAAGGUGCAAGUGAGCCGGCCCACAAGGAUCUGGCGACGGUUACAGCAGGUCCGCGAUUUUAUGGAGUCGAAGAUUCGGUGGUGCUUGGGUAAAGGGUUUGUCGACUUUUGGUAUGACAAGUGGCUCUUAGAGGUGCCCUGGUUGAGAAAGUAGGUGUAGUUGACCCGCCACACAUGCUAGUAGCUGGGUUUUUGGAGAGAGAGGAUGGAACACUGGGUUGCUAUAGGCCUGGUUACUGAUGGGUUUGGUUCGCCAGGUCCAGGAGGUUUCCUUACAUCCGGACCAGGAGGAUGAAAUGGUGUAGGUAGGGUCUUCAUCGGGAGUUUUCUCAAUCAAAGACGGGUGGGAGGCCCUGCGGCAGAAAAGAAAUCUCUCUAGGGCUGAUAGGUUCAUAUGGAAUAGAGUCCUGCUGCUCAAAAUUUCCUUCCUAGUGUGAAAAGUGAUGUGUAAUAUGGUUCCGGUGGAUGUAAAUUUGCAACGGCGGGGCAUCAAGUUGGCGUCUCGGCGCUGCUGUUGCUCCUUGCAUGAAAAGUCCUUGACUCACCUAUUUCUCGACGGGGCAGUAGCAGAGCAGGUUUGGGGUUUCUUUCGAAGACGGUUUCGGAAUUCUUCAUACUAGUUCCCCCUCAAUCUCGACGGAGUGUCUCUCUUGGUUUGCUUCUACUUCAUCAAUCUCUGCAAAUCAUAUACGGACUGCUCUUCCAUGUUUAAUUUUAUGGUGUCUUUGGCAAGCACGGAACAAGUCAAGGUUUGAGGGGACUCGGAUGGAGCCACAGGGGGUUAUUUGUGCGGUGGGCAGUGAGGUGGAGCAGUUAGGAAGGGCAAAUUUAUGGUCCUUGGCGCACUUCAAGGGUGACUUGGAUGAUCCAUGGGUGUUAUUUGCUGCUUGGCGGCCACAGGCAACACGGCGGUUGCUGAUUUCUUGGAAGCCACCGCCACAAGAUGUCGUCAAGUUGAACACGGAUGCCAGUGUUUCAGGUAGGAGGGUAUCGGGAGGUGGCUUGCUAUGGGACCAUGAUGGUGGCUUGAUCUUUGUAUUCUAUAAGGAAUUCGGGGAUGUUGACGUGCUGACCACCGAGAGUUUAGCAUUACUGCAGGGUUUGCUCUUCUGCAAAAGGGUUCGGGUUCAGAGGCUAUUAGUGGAGGUGGACUCGACGGGGUUGGCUCACUUGCUGGGCUCAAGGGCCUUGGCAAAAUGGCCGUUAUGUAACACAUUACGGCAGAUUCGAGCCAUGCUUCAGAGCUUCAAUACCACUGCUAGACACAUAUUCAGAGAAGUGAACGCCGCGGCGGAUAAAUUAGCAAUGAUGGAGGCUUAGGCUGACUUUUUUACCACGACCUUCCAGCAACUUCCGAGGGAUGUUAGAGCUAUUAUACUUCUAGAUAGCAGGGAAGUUCCUUUUGUUCGAGCACAAAUUGUGAGAGAGUAGAACCCUGGGCUCUGCUUUCUGCUUCAACAAUGUAAUUUGGUCUUCUUAAUAAAUAAAAUCUAUUGAAAAAAAAAGUGAUAGUUUAUAAAUAAUGGAGAUGUUUUUAUCAUAUAUUGAACUAUUGUUACAAGUUUCAUUUUUUUAAAUAUACUUUCAUGUGCCCGUGAUUAUAAUAUUUUACUAUUUUUAAAUUUCUCCAUAGAUUAUAAUUUUUUUAAAAAAUGUAAUCUGCUGUGCGUAGCACGGGUAUUUAUACUAGUACUAGUAUAAUUUGAGAGGAGAUUAGGAACUUAUAUUGACAUUGGAAUAGCUUCAAAUUUAAGGGCAAAAAGGACUCCAGGAUAGCUGGAAAAACAAAAGUUUUGCGGAUCCAAAUGGAUACAUCUAAAAGACUAUGGGAUUAACUUGAAAAUGAUACCAAAGUCGAUCGAGGAAAAUAAAUUUAACCAAAUCUGAAAAUUGAAAAUUUUCCGCUUGUCUAUAUAUCCUUCAACGAACCUAUUUAACCUUUCUUAUUUCCUUGCACGCGCCCGCAAUUCGUGGUGUCAACGGAGAAACUCAGUGGACUUUGGUGGCGGACUCAUUUGAAACUAAUUUAAACUUAAAUGGAAAAUUUUGAUAACCCAACGAAUACACUUUCGUUUAAAGUUCAAAGACCAGGAUGCUCACUUUACCUAAAUUUUAUGAGCUUCAUAGAUAGAAUCACCAUGACAUAUAGAUGUGAUGCGUAUUCCACAAAAAGAUAGCCUUAAGCAUGGAGUCAAUGGAGGAACUCAAAUCAAUUUGUUCUACUGUAAUUGUGGUUGCCAAUUUGGCAAGCAAGGCCUUAAUUUUUUUUUAUUAGAUCCGAGAGUUUUUUCAAAUUUUGUAUGCCAAAUUUAGGAUUUGUAGGCCCUCCCAUCAAAAUUCAUCCUAGAAUUUGAGCUUGAACUAGUUGAACAACAGAUUAGACAGUAUUAACAUACACAAAUGUUCAUUGGUUUACUGGUGAUUUAUUUGAGUUUGAAAUCUGUUGGAACUUCAAAGUGUAAUAUCUAUUAUUUUUUAAAUGUAUUAGAUAUAUUGAUUUUUUUCAAAUUUGUUCAUUUCCUGGCAUGUGUCAAUGUACUCUCUGUCAUUAAUAUAGAUCUGAUGAAAUAAAAAUAUUUUUUUAUUUUAUUAGAAAAAGAAAAAUAAGUAGACCCGCUAUAUUAGACCUAAUGACAUUUUCAAUUUGUUGUUACAAAAUUUCUUUCUAAUAAUGAUGACAAGCAUUGUUCUUUGCCUUUAGAAAAUGAUCUUCAACCAUUUAACUUACUUGUAUCUCUUGAUUAGUUCUUACGAAUAAGACCCCCAAAAAAAAAAAAAAACCAAGAAAGUUAGACCCAUUUGGUUGGCCGUGCUUCAAUGUCCAAGAAGUUGGGGGGAAUCCAGAAUUUGUAUUCCAAGUCAAUUGUCAAGGUUCAAAUUACAUUCCUUUUCACCAUUACGAGGUAGCCAAGGUCCUGUCUAAAUCAACUUGACCAUUCUUCGAAAAGGAAAAAAGCUGGACCCUUCUUGUAAUGACUUAUCCAGAUUCUUCAGCAAACCAGCCAACCAUUUGUUGUUUAGAGGUCCAUAUCAUACAUAUUGCCAGUUAAAAUUUCUCUCUAAGUAUUUUAAUUUUUGUUCAAUUGAAGUGUUAUUGAAACUUGGAUAAAGUUAUUACAAGAAACAGCAAAAUCAACAGAAGUAAUUCCAUUAGUAUCCAAAAAAAAAAGUAAAAAAAAUACAUAUCCAGAAUAGCUGCCUCAGACAAAUAGCAAGCUUAUAAAUCCAAUUUCUCUAACUUUUUAACUUUUACUGAUACAAUUACCUCAGCACAAUUUCAAGUGAUUAAUACAAUAGUUUACAAUUCAUCGAUAUUACAAUUUGAUCUACACUUGGAGGUAUAAAUACUCGUCAACAAAACAUUCUAUCCCGUACUUCAUAGGACAAAUACUAAUGUAAAAUUAGAUUAAAGUCCACAAGUCAUGAGGACUAUAUAAUAGUUUGAUUGUAAAUUGAAUGACAAGUAAUUAUUUUAUCAAAGAGACAAAUUUAAGUGAUAGGUGGAACAAGAAAAAUGAAAUGCUGCCCGUAAUAUAGUACGUAUGUUUAUUAGUUUAAUAUGUUUAAUGAUCUAAUAGCCAAUAGUCAGAAACUUGUCGAAUCAAAUACUUAAAUUACUUUGCUUCUUGAUCUGCAUCAAAUCAUUGACUUAUAAAAAUUUUUAUUAUAGAUUUUGUAAAAUAAUCAGUACUGGAUGACUUUCAACAAGUUUAAUAAUAAUAUUUUUCUCUUUAUUUAUUAAAAAAAAGAGUAAAAAUUUUUGUAAAUCACAAAAUUUGAAUUCAAGAUGUGUCAAUGACUCAUUGAUAAGCACAACAUAAUGGAAUUUAAUUGUCAUUGUCAUCAUCUGUUAUUUAAACUUGUACCCAUCCUUUGGCACGAGGGAAUUGCUCUACCAUUUUCUAUUUCCUCGUCUCUACCCACUUUUACUUUUCAAAUAUUUCGUCAGAUUUGAAGAUUUUCUAGUCUUACUAAUUAGUGUUAUUUGCGGAAUUUAGAAGUGACUAGAUAGACAGAAGCUUCACGUGGUUUAUACCUAAUUCUCCAAAAAAAAAAUUUCCUCGUGAAAACGACAGGUAAUGUGUUUUCUGAUACCUAAUUCUCCAAAAAAAAAAAACAAAGGAAAAGAAAAUUAAGUUAUGAGACUUGCAAGGAUACACUAUGGACAAAUUAUAUUUCGUACCCUAAAACUUUAUAUUAAUGUGGCUAUAUAGUUCACCUCUACUCGUGGCGUCCCCGUCCUUUCUUCACAUAGCUUUUCCCCUACUCGAAAGUCAAUUCUAAAUCUACCUUUCUAAUUGUAAAGAAUCAGAUCAUUAUUUAGGUGAUUCAGCCAAAAGAAGAAAAACCAAAAAGAUGUUUAUCUAGGUGUAAUAUAUGUGAAGAAGACAAAACUUUAGAGCCGACCAUAACACAAAAUGGACCAUCUUGUACGAAACAAAACACAUGCACGAAACGAUUUACACAAAAUCAACACACAAUCAAGUGAAAAGAUUUUUUGUAUGUAUAUAAAAAAGAAGAGAAUUUCAAUCAAUUAAAGAAAGCCGAACCAAUGGUAACAAAUGCGUGAAAAACAUGCAACAAAAAAAAAAAACAACAGAUGAAAGGGAUUUUCUUGACGUCUUAGAAACCAAUAAGAAAUAAUACUGUACAGCUCCAAAAUUUUCUUACAAACACAGAUUCUCUGUAGCUCCAAUGCAUGAUUCGUGCAUGUUUUCCACGGACAGAUUAUAUAAAUUUUAGUUUCGAACUCUGAAACAAUUGAUUUAACAAGUUUUAGUUUAAAGGCCAAGUUUUUCUCCUAUAAGUUUUUUUAACAACGUUAUAUAUAUUAACUCAAAAAACUCCUCAAAAUUUUUAAUAUACACACUUCAAAAAUACCAAAAAAUACAAAUAAACUUCACUUCUUUCCUUUCCUCUUCUUCCUCCCCCACAUCAACCCACCACCACCUCCGGCGCCGGACACCUCUUCCGAAAAAGGAAAAAGAAAAGGAAAAGAAAAAAAAAUUUACAUCUUAAAAUAUUUUUCUAUAAUUUCUACGGUAAAUUACAGUAAAGCUUAUAUCAGUUUUACUUUCAAACUCUGCUUCCAAACAGAUUGAACCAAAUUGAUUUAAAAGACCCCACAUCUAACAAGAACAUAGAAAAUAAAGAAAAUAAUAAUCAUAAAAAACUCUCAUUAAGAAACAAAGAAAUUUUUACUAGGAAAAUGCUAGACGAGAAUAAACUCUUACUAGGAAAAUUCCAGAAGAGAAAAAUUUAUUUCAAAAGCAAAGACAAAAACAAUUGGGACAGACACCAGGGGAACUGGAGAAUGAGAGGUGGAGUUCGUUAGCUGAAGAAAUUUUUGAAAGAAGAGGGAAAGAGGGUGAGCAAAUGAAGAGAUAAAUAUGAGGAAGUAUCCAAAUGCAUAUGCACUUGAUUUCUACAUGGCUUUUUCUAUUUGUGGUCGGACGGCACGAUACACUUACCAAAUAAAAUAAUGUACUCAUUAUGAAAUUCUAACAUUAUCAUGCACCUAGUAAACUGCGUAUAAUAAAUGAAUCUUGUAUACACUAUUAUCAUUAGAUAUAUGAUAUAUGUAUAAAAUUUGAAUUUGAAAUUCAAAAGUUACUCAUAUGUCAUCGAUCUAACCGUGAUAGUGUAUAUAUUGGCAGUGUAUAUGAAAUUUAUUCAAAUAAAUUGCUAUCAAUAUAAACUUUUGCUGAUUAGAUAACAGUGGAACCACCUAUUAACUAAUUUAAAAUUCACCAUUAGUGUACUUCAGGUUAAUUGUUCACUAAUAUUGUAAAAGGUUUUAACAUAAACCACAAAACAAGUGAACGGAUUAGUUGGUCAACAGUUAAUAGAUUUAGCAUGGCGGGGCCAGGAUUUUUAAAAAGAGAGGGUGAACUUAAAAAUAUGGCAAUUUUACUUUACGAGUCUAAAUUUGAAAAUUAUAAGAUGCAUGUUAAUUUUUUGUGACUAUAUCGCUUAAUAUUUUGGUCUUUAUAGUUAAUCCGAAAUCAAUGUAAAUUAUUUUAAACCAAAUUUCUAUAUGAAGAAGUUUUUUAUGAUUUUAAGAUGGUUUUUAAUAGAGUAAUAAUAAAAAGUAAGUCUACAAACCACAAGAAGGAAGCUAUUUCCCCAAUAUUGGAACAAGAUACAUGAUAAUAUACCAAAUUCGUGUAACUAUUCAUGUCUCUACCUUCUCAUUUCUUGUGUACCGGAAAAACGAACUUCUCUUUGCUUUAAUACCAAAUUUCAGGGAGGUAAUACAUAAAGUUCUAAAAAAAAACAUGUAUUAUGAAGUUAAAUUAUGUAUAUGAACUAAAUAGAAGUCUAAAGUAUUUAAAGUCUAAAAGAUAAUAAUUUUCAUGAGGCAAAAAUUAGAUUGGGAGAGGGGGGGGGGGGAAUAUGAUUUUAAAUGGAAAAUCCAAAGUAUUCAGGAAUCAAAAGGAAUUUUUCAGAACUUGGACAAACCUGCCCCUAGCGCCCUUAUGACUCUGCCACUGCCGACUACCAUAAAAAAACAAAAAAGAUUUGACAUAAUCACUUAAAUUUGACUGAUAUAUGAAAGACGUCAGAAGCUUUAACUAUUUAUCCUUAUUUGUCUUCUUAAAGAGGACAAACACGACGACAAACACGACGAUAAAGAAAACCCAAGUUGGAUUCAUUCAAUUAGCCAAUAAAACUGUCUGUUUCCUGUUAGACCAAGGACUUUGCCAUGCUUGAAAACCUUAUUCCAUCCGGCAGCCACAGGUUUAUGGAUAAAAAAAAAAAGGGAUUUGUGCGCCUCAAUAAUUGCUAAAUGAUGGAUAAGGAACGGUUGGAGGCAAAAUUGAUUUUAAACGGUUGAGAUCAGUUUUUGUAUAGGUUGCAUGAGAUAAAUGUUAACAUAUUUUAAACGUAUAAUUGUAAAUUUUGAUAUAGGUCAUAUAAAAUUUUUUGCAUCAAUUAUUACUUAAAUGAUAUAUCUAUUUAAGUAUGAAUUAAUUUAUUCUACAUUAUGAAAGUAUAAUUUUUUUACGUUUCUGAACAAUUUUAAGUGCAUGACAUAUAAUUUUUAUUUAAAUUUAAGUAUUAUAUAUAUAUAAUUACUAGAGUAAAAAAUCUUAUUAUACAAACUCAUCCAAGUAUUCAGGCAAUUUUGCUUGAUAACAACUUAGAUCACAUUUCAACAAAACAAUAAUAACAAUAAUAAUAUGCAGCCGCUAGAGCUGUUAAGCCAAUCAAGUAGCUCGAAAGCUCGUUAGAGCUCGGCUCGUUAAGGCUCGAGCUCGGCUCGUUAAUUUUGGUUAACGAGUCAAGCUCGAGCUCGAAACAUGCUCGUUUAGUUAACGAGCCGAGUAAGCUCGGCUCGUUUGAUACUCGAGUAGCUCGUUAGAGCUCGUUAAUGAAGGGCAUAUUUGUCAUUUUAGAAAUUAAAAUUAUAUAAAUUAAAAAUUAUAGGUUUUUAUUAAUGUUAAUUUGCACGAGCUCGAGCUCGAACUCGAGCCACAUGUACAUUUAACGAGUCGAGUUCGAACACAUUUUAAAGCUCGUUUUCUUAACGAGCUCGAGUUGAGCUCGGCUCGAAUUAAACUCGAGUCGAGCUCGGCAGCCCAAUACUCGGCUCGACUCGGCUCGAUUAACAGCUCUAGCAGCCGCCCAAAGGGCUGAUGGUCACCACAAGAAAUUUAGUCUGGUCAAGGUGUGGGAGGUCAAGAUCCUUGCCUUCUAUCAAUUUGUCAUUAUAUAUGAUUGUUUUGAAUGAUUUUCUCCAAUGGUGAUUCAAUUCCUUCGACUCCCCUUCCUCUUAGAUUAGAAACAUAGAUUAGAUUAUAGAAAUAUUACUAUUGUGAUAAAAAAUAAUAAUAAUAAAAUAGGGCAGCCACACAUUAUCGGUCAAGAUAUAAAGAAAAUGUCCAGCCAUCAGAAGUGGGACCUUUGCACUUCAGGUAAGAUGGUCCAACAAGGCAAAACGACCUAGAACAACUGGAAUUUAAGUCAUGUGUUGUUGGUGGGCCAAAUGGAAAUUUCCAUCCAUUUACAAGCUUUCGACCACUACAUGAUUUAUUGAUUUUCAAGUGUUCUCUAGUCUCCGCUCCUGCCAGCUUUCUCCUAUAAAUUGCCACCCCAAUAUCCAAAUCCCACACACAACACACAAACACACAAAAUACACAACAAAAUCCAACUCCCACGCACAAAACACACACUUUAGGCAAGAAAAGUAGCCACCACAAAGGCUAAUAAGAUGGAGAACUUCCCAGUAAUCAACAUGAAAAACCUCAAUGGUGACAAGAGAGCUUCCACCAUGGAGCAUAUAAAGGAUGCUUGUGAAAACUGGGGUUUCUUUGAGGUACUAUACAUUC
rnacentral:lncRNA from 1 species